rnacentral:rRNA from 1 species
GAGUUUGAUCGUGGCUCAGGACGAACGCUGGCGGCGUGCCUAACACAUGCAAGUCGUACGGGCUUGAGGGGCAACUCUCAAGUCAGUGGCGAACGGGUGCGUAACACGUGAGCAACUUGCCCUCAGGUGGGGGAUAGCCGGCCCAACGGCCGGGUAAUACCGCAUAUGGCAUCGAGGUCGCAUGGCCUUGAUGGGAAAGCGGCCGCAAGGUCGCGCCAGGGGAGGGGCUCGCGGCGUAUCAGCUAGUUGGCGGGGUAACGGCCCACCAAGGCUACGACGCGUAGCUGGUCUGAGAGGAUGGCCAGCCACAUUGGGACUGAGAUACGGCCCAGACUCCUACGGGAGGCAGCAGUGGGGAAUAUUGCGCAAUGGCCGAAAGGCUGACGCAGCGACGCCGCGUGUGGGAUGACGGCCUCGGUUGUAACCG